AUACGGAGGGUGCAAGCGUUGUUCGGAAUCACAGGGCGUAAAGGGCGCGCAGGCGGUUUGGUAAGUCAGAUGUGAAAGCCCACGGCUCAACCGUGGAAGUGCAUUUGAAACUGUCAGACUUGAGUACUAGAGGGGAAAGUGGAAUUCCAGGUGUAGAGGUGAAAUUCGUAGAUAUCGGGAGGAAUACCGGUGGCGAAGGCGACUUUCUGGCUAGAUACUGACGCUGAGGCGCGAAAGCGUGGGGAGCAAACAGGAUUAGAUACCCUAGUAGUCC
rnacentral:rRNA from 1 species